rnacentral:rRNA from 1 species
GUAACGGCGAGUGAAGCGGCAACAGCUCAAAUUUGAAAUCUGGCCCUAGCGGUCCGAGUUGUAAUUUGUAGAGGAUGCUUUAGGUGCGGUACCUUCUGAGUUCCCUGGAACGGGACGCCAGAGAGGGUGAGAGCCCCGUACGGUGGGAUACCAAGCCUAUGUAUAGCUCCUUCGACGAGUCGAGUAGUUUGGGAAUGCUGCUCUAAAUGGGAGGUAUAUUUCUUCUAAAGCUAAAUACCGGCCAGAGACCGAUAGCGCACAAGUAGAGUGAUCGAAAGAUGAAAAGCACUUUGAAAAGAGGGUUAAAUAGCACGUGAAAUUGUUGAAAGGGAAGCGUUUGCGACCAGACCUUUUCCAGGCGGAUCAUCCAGCGUUCUCGCUGGUGCACUUCGCCUGGUUUAGGCCAGCAUCGGUUCUCUUAGGGGGAUAAAGACCAGGGGAACGUGGCUCCUUCGGGAGUGUUAUAGCCCCUGGUGUAAUACCCUUCAGGGGACCGAGGACCGCGCUUCGGCUAGGAUGCUGGCGUAAUGGUCGUCAACGACCCGUCUUGAAACACGGACCAAGGAGUCGAACAUUGGUGCGAGUGUUUGGGUGUUAAACCCUCACGCGUAAUGAAAGUGAACGGAGGUGAGAGCCCGUACGGGUGCAUCAUCGACCGAUCCUGAUGUCUUCGGAUGGAUUUGAGUAAGAGCAUCACUGUUCGGACCCGAAAGAUGGUGAACUAUGCGUGGAUAGGGUGAAGCCAGAGGAAACUCUGGUGGAGGCUC